CAGCCGCCGCGGUAAUACGGAGGGGGCUAGCGUUGUUCGGAAUUACUGGGCGUAAAGCGUACGUAGGCGGCUUGGUAAGUUAGAGGUGAAAGCCUGGAGCUCAACUCCAGAAUUGCCUUUAAGACUGCCGAGCUAGCAGGUGAGAGAGGUAAGUGGAAUUCCGAGUGUAGAGGUGAAAUUCGUAGAUAUUCGGAAGAACACCAGUGGCGAAGGCGGCUUACUGGCUCAUACUGGACGCUGAGGUGCGAAAGCGUGGGGAGCAAACAGGAUUAGAUACCCGCGUAGUCCCUGUCUCUUAUAC
rnacentral:rRNA from 1 species